rnacentral:rRNA from 1 species
AUGUCCAGGCUGUCGUUGCCAAGGACGUGGAGCUGCACUCGCCUCCAUUGGUGCACCGUGCCCAAUGAAGAAAAAAAAAUGGCACAUCUUUAUGAGCGCAGGGAGUUUCCCUACCCUGGUGAUGAAGAGGCAGUUGAGGAGUUCAUAAAAAGUGGGGGUGCUCUAGGUACCACGAUCGGGCCCAAAGGUUUUGCGGAUACAAACGUGGACUCUGAUAACAUGCAGAAGCAACUGCAGUCGAAAAAGUUCGACCAGGAGGCACAAAAGCUCUGGUUCCGAAUGAGGAAUGAGGUUGCACAUGAACUACAAGAGAAGGGAUUUGAUGUUGAAUGA